AGUCCUAAUUUAGCACAAGAUUGCAUUAAUUUAGAAUUUAACUUUCUCCGA
rnacentral:tRNA from 1 species